UACGGAGGAUGCAAGCGUUAUCCGGAAUGAUUGGGCGUAAAGAGUCCGUAGGUGGUUAUUCAAGUCGAUUGUUAAAGAGCGGGGCUUAACCCCGUAGAAGCAGUGGAAACUGAAUAACUAGAGAGAGGUAGGGGUAGAGGGAAUUCCCGGUGUAGCGGUGAAAUGCGUAGAGAUCGGGAAGAACACCAGUGGCGAAAGCGCUCUACUGGGCCUCAUCUGACACUGAGGGACGAAAGCUAGGGGAGCAAACAGG
rnacentral:rRNA from 1 species